rnacentral:misc_RNA from 1 species
GAUGAAGAACGCAGCGAAAUGCGAUAAGUAGUGUGAAUUGCAGAAUUCAGUGAAUCAUCGAAUCUUUGAACGCACAUUGCGCCCUUUGGUAUUCUUUAGGGCAUGCCUGUUCGAGCGUCAUUUAAACCUUCAAGCUAAGCUUGGUGUUGGGUGACUGUCCGCUUCACGGCGGACUCGCCUCAAAAUUAUUGGCGGCCGGUACAUUGGCUUCGAGCGCAGCAGAAACGCGAACUCGGGCCCGUCGUAUUGGCUCCCAGAAGCUAUCUUCACAAUUUUGACCUCGGAUCAGGUAGGGAUACCCGCUGAACUUAAGCAUAUCAAUAAGCGGAGGA